rnacentral:lncRNA from 1 species
CCAAUUAAGGACCCAACUCUCAUUCUUUUGGAAGGGGGGGUCACGCUUCCAGUGGCUCAUUUUGUUCUUUUUCUAUUUUCUCUUGUCCUGAAACGUGCACGGCAGAAGGAAGCUUCUUUCCUUUCUCUUCUCCUUUUUCAUGGACAGCGGUGAGAGUGUAGUGAUGGAGGUGAGAGACACGACAAGGUUGCGGCGAGAUGCGACGAGGUUGCGACGGAGGCGAAGCGAUGACGGAGCGGUGGUGUGACGAGGUUGAGACGACUACGCGAAGACGUUGGCCGUUCGGAUUCGUGGCGCAAGUUCCUUCCCCUCCACCUUUCUCUAUUUUUCGUUUGAGCUUAGGGAUUUUUCCUAAUUUCGUAUAAGGACGCAGGUUGGGUGUGAACAAUGUUGCUAGGACGGCAAAGGUGGCGGUGACGCGUUGUAAGUAUGGCCGGCGUUGCCGUAGAGUGAAUCGUGUCCCGAUUCGGCAUUUUAGGGUUCCCGAGCUUGUUCUAAAAUUGGGGAUUUGGGGGUUUUGACUUUAGGGUUCCUGAACUUGUUUCUANAAUUGGGAAAUUUGCAANCUGUUCUUGCAAAUUGGGGNUUAGGUUUUCAANUGGGGAUUUUUGAUUCUGUUGUUGCGUCUCUGAUCUUGAAAGUUUUGAAUUCUUUUGAAUAUCUGUUGUUGCAUCUUUGGGGUUUGAUCUAGCGAUCACUCUGCUGUAUUUUGUGAUAUGUUUUUAUGCGUUACGGUUCCGGUUUGUGGUGACGGUGCUGGUUGCUCACCAGCGGAGCAACCAUGGGUGGAAGUGGUGAGUUGUGGCUGAGGGCCAGGGUGGCAGUCAGGUUGGGCCUCGGUUAGGCCUCUAAACCAGCAGUAUUAGGUUUCUAGUCUGGACUUUGGUUAUAACUAACUGGGCCUAUAGGCCCAGACUUGACCUUGAGCGGUAUUUUUUUACGGAGACCCAAAAGUAUUAAUAAGAAGGGAAUUUAAGAUAAGUUUUAUGUUUCUACAAUUAGGUUAAUGUAAAAUAUAAUUAACUAAUUAUUGACAUUAACUGACAAAAAAUUAAAUUGUAAAGAGAGAGAAGAAAACAGUAAUGAUAUUAAUUAUUAUUAUUAC